AUUUUCUAAGAAUAAGAACAUAGAGAAAGAAAGCAAUCAAAUAACGUGAUUGAUAAAGAAAAAUGAAGGUCAGGACUGAAGUCAUAGACACAAAGACUCUCAUUCUCUUGGAAAUUUCAUAUUCUUCCGUAGUUUCGACCAAUUACCAUUGAAUCUGUAUUGACAGAUCUAAUUUUGACAAUUUACUCGUCUUCAGGUUGAUUCUCACCUGGAUGUAAGAACAAAAAAUCGUAUUUUUUUAAUUAUAAUAAUAGCGUUAAUCUAAAUUCCAACAGUUAUUAUUAUUAUUAUUGAUCAAUCUUAGAUCACGCCGUGGAAUUUCAUUGGAAUUAUAAUUUUUUGGUUUUCUUCUUUUUAUGCGAAUGCUAAUGUGUUUUUUUUUUUACAGACAAUAGGAAAAUUAAAGUUUUUUUUCUAGCGGAAGAUGGAUAUACAUACAGCGUGCAAAAAAAUGGCAACAAUUUUGUAAAAAUAUAUCUUGUAACCAAUAAUUAAAAAUAACUAUAAAGCACGAGAGUUUCUACAGGCCAGUGUUUUUAACGUACGGAAAAUGUGAUUUGUAUAAUCACUAUUUUUCAUUCUCCUUUUUAAGGUCCAUAGACAGAGCUUCACUUCACUGAGUGGCAAAAAGUGUUUUUUACGCGCUCAUACACUGAGAGAAAAAUAUCGUCGAUUCUAUGGUCGAGUGUCGAGUAGACAAAGCAUGAAGGAUUUUGGAACUUGCCAUCAGACCUGAAAUCUCCUGAUAACAAUGAUAACUAUUUUUUGGAAUUUUUUUAUAUUUAAUUUUCACUAUUUUUAUUGUGCGAGACGAAACGCGCUGUAGUGAUAAAAAUCAGGAUUGAAAAUUUCAAAAUUAAAUUAGGUCUUAAUUCAAAUGAGUCGACUUAGACAGUUGUGAACCAACGAGGAAUCAGCUGGGUGGAUUUUCGAGAUAUCGAUAGUUUCAAUAUGUGUUUUUUUAUAGUAAGAAUAUGGUAAAUAAAACAGAACAUAGAGGUGAUACGAAAAAAAUUAAAUUUUCUGUUGCCUUUUGACAGUUUUAAAAUGAUAAUGAGUGACAUUUCCAUCUUAGACUUCCAAUCUAAUGAAUCGAAUAAAUGAUGAAAAUAAAAUAAAUAAAAUGAAUAAAUAAAUAAGAUAAAUAAAGAUAAAAAUCAAUCAAA